AUUGAACGCUGGCGGCAGGCCUAACACAUGCAAGUCGAACGAGUGGCGGACGGGUGAGUAAUGUCUGGGAAACUGCCUGAUGGAGGGGGAUAACUACUGGGAAAGGUAGCUAAUACCGCAUACCAUGGGAUGUGCCCAGAUGGGAUUAGCUAGUAGGUGGGGUAAAGGCUCACCUAGGCGAAGAUCCCUAGCUGGUCUGAGAGGAUGACGAGCCACACGGGAACGGGGACACGGGCCAGAAUCCGAAGUGAGGCAGGAGUGGGGAAUAUUGGACAAUGGGCGCUAGCCUGAAGCAGGCAGGCCGCGUGUAUUAAGAAGGCCUUCGGGUUGUAAAGUACUUUCCGCGGGGAGGCGUUACCCGCAGAAGAAGCACCGGCUAACUCCGUGCCAGCAGCCGCGGUAAUUC
rnacentral:rRNA from 1 species